rnacentral:rRNA from 1 species
ACGGAAGGCAGCAGUGAGGAAUAUUGGUCAAUGGAGGCAACUCUGAACCAGCCAAGUCGCGUGAAGGAAGAAGGCCCUACGGGUCGUAAACUUCUUUUGCAGGGGGAUAAAGUCGGCCACGCGUGGCCGUUUGCAGGUACCCUGUGAAUAAGCAUCGGCUAACUCCGUGCCAGCAGCCGCGGUAAUACGGAGGAUGCGAGCGUUAUCCGGAUUUAUUGGGUUUAAAGGGUGCGCAGGCGGCACGUUAAGUCAGCGGUGAAAUGCAGGGGCUCAACCCCGGCACUGCCGUUGAAACUGGCGAGCUCGAGUACGGAUGAAGUCGGCGGAAUGUGAUGUGUAGCGGUGAAAUGCUUAGAUAUGUCACAGAACACCGAUUGCGAAGGCAGCUGACUAAUCCGCAACUGACGCUCAGGCACGAAAGCGUGGGGAUCGAACAGGAUUAGAUACCCUGGUA